GUAGCUCAGUGGUAGAGUGCUUGCUUUGCAUGCAUGAGGUCCUGGGUUCAAUUUCUCAGC
rnacentral:tRNA from 1 species